rnacentral:rRNA from 1 species
UACGUAGGUGGCGAGCGUUAUCCGGAAUUAUUGGGCGUAAAGAGCGCGCAGGUGGUUGAUUAAGUCUGAUGUGAAAGCCCACGGCUUAACCGUGGAGGGUCAUUGGAAACUGGUCGACUUGAGUGCAGAAGAGGGAAGUGGAAUUCCAUGUGUAGCGGUGAAAUGCGUAGAUAUUAGGAGGAACACCAGUAGCGAAGGCGGCUCUCUGGACUGUAACUGACGCUGAGGCACGAAAGCGUGGGGAGCAAACAGGAUUAGAUA